rnacentral:rRNA from 1 species
GACGAACGCUGGCGGCGUGCUUAACACAUGCAAGUCGAACGGUGAUCUUGGGAGCUUGCUCCUGGGUGAUCAGUGGCGAACGGGUGAGUAACACGUGAGUAACCUGCCCCUGACUCUGGAAUAACUUCGGGAAACCGAAGCUAAUACCGGAUAUGACACAGAGCCGCAUGGUUUCUGUGUGGAAAGUUUUUUCGGUUGGGGAUGGACUCGCGGCCUAUCAGCUUGGUGGUGAGGUAAUGGCUCACCAAGGCGACGACGGGUAGCCGGCCUGAGAGGGCGACCGGCCACACUGGGACUGAGACACGGCCCAGACUCCUACGGGAGGCAGCAGUGGGGAAUAUUGCACAAUGGGCGAAAGCCUGAUGCAGCGACGCCGCGUGAGGGAUGAAGGCCUUCGGGUUGUAAACCUCUUUCAGUAGGGAAGAAGCGCAAGUGACGGUACCUACAGAAGAAGCACCGGCUAACUACGUGCCAGCAGCCGCCGCCGUAA